rnacentral:lncRNA from 1 species
GGAGGCAGAGCUGUGAAGGAGCCAUACAAGGGAAAGUCCAGUCCUUGAGUGUGUCUGGCCACCCCAUCAGAAACAUCAUAGAGCAUAGGCAUCUGGUCAAGCAGGAAUUGUUUUUUUGGUGCAUCUGGCCACCCCAGCAAGUAGGUGUUUGAGGUCACCGAACAUGGCUGUUUGAUGAGGCCGAUACCAGUGCAGGAUGUGUAGCAGUUGUGGAAGAGGAGCGCCAACCUCUGCCAAGAAACAAGCAACAGAAGGACCUCGGCAGUGAGGGCAGGUGAGGCCCCCAGCGGAGGAACAGGAGUCAUCUUGACCCACAGCAUGGGGUCAGCUGAGGACAGUCGGACUGGAGACCUCAAGGUCGCAGCGACAGAGCUCAACAAGGAGUCUGAGACUGGAUACUUGGGUGGCUGGACUCACGGAGCAGCAACAGGCGGUGGCCACUGGACAGGCCAGACCCAGGCUGAGGAACCAGGCGAAGGCCUCGCAUCAGGAGACCAGUGCAAAGUAGAGUGACCAGACGAAGGCCCCGGGUUGUGAUGCUAGGCUGCAGCAGGAGAGCUCAGCUGGUCCCCUGCUGCGACGACAGGCGAGGGGGCUAUAGACUGAGGACCUAGUAGGGCAGAGCGUGAGGUGUCUUUUACGACGGGAUACUGAACACCUCACACAGGAGGGUCCCCCACUUGGACAUCAGGAGGGUCCCCCAAUGGGACGUUCUAAUUCAAAGAAUGAACCCAGCAUCUGUCCCUGCAGAAUGAUGACUCCUCAAUUAGAAGCAACAGGGAGUUUUUUGUUUUUGUUGAUGGCUUUGGGUCCGGGUGCCGCUGUCGAAGCAACCGGGGAUGCCUCAGCUGGCUCGUCAGGCUCCCGUGCCUCAGCUGGCUCCAGAGGCUCACAAGCCUCGGUUGGCUCGUCAGGCUCCCACGCCUCGGCCGGCUCGUCGGGCUCCCAUGCCUCGCCGGCCCUCUCCCAUGCCUCGCCGGCCGGGGGGGUACUGUCUCGUCUGCUCUUGCUCCCGCUCCCCAUCGCUAACGCUUAUGGUCACCAGGCUGCUUAUCAUUACGCACACCUGUCACCAUCGUUACGCGCAUCAGCGCUUCAUCGGACUCACCUGGACUCAUCACGUUAUUAAUUACCUCCCUUAUAUCUGUCACCUCCUCAGUUUCUUUCCCGAGUCAGCGUUAAUGUCGUAAUGUGUCCCUUGUCAAGACGCUGUUCGUGUUUUGUUUCCUGUCUGUUUAUUCAUUAAAUAUUCCCUCGCUGUACUUGCUUCUCGUCUCCCAGCGUCUGUCCUUAC